rnacentral:tRNA from 1 species
GGUCGUAUAGCUCAGUUGGUUAGAGCGUACGGUUCACAUCCGUAAGGCCUCUGGUUCAAAUCCAGAUACGACCA